rnacentral:rRNA from 1 species
UACGGAGGGGGCAAGCGUUAUUCGGAAUUAUUGGGCGUAAAGGGCGCGUAGGCGGCUUGGUAAGUCAAAGGUGAAAUCCCUCGGCUCAACUGAGGAAUUGCCUUUGAAACUGCCAGGCUUGAGGCCGGGAGGGGGUAGCGGAAUUCCCAGUGUAGCGGUGAAAUGCGUAGAUAUCUGGAGGAACACCGGUGGCGAAGGCGGCAUCCUGGACCGGUAUUGACGCUGAGGCGCGAAAGCUAGGGGAGCAAACGGG